UUCUAGUUUACUAGAAGGCGUCGAGCGGCCCGUACUUGGUGAGUAAUGCUUGGGAAUAUGCCUUUAGGUGGGGGACAACAGUUGGAAACGACUGCUAAUACCGCAUAAUGUCUACGGACCAAAGGAGGGGAUCUUCGGACCUUUCGCCUUUAGAUUAGCCCAAGUGAGAUUAGCUAGAUGGUGGGGUAAUGGCCUACCAUGGCGACGAUCUCUAGCUGGUUUGAGAGGAUGAUCAGCCACACUGGGACUGAGACACGGCCCAGACUCCUACGGGAGGCAGCAGUGGGGAAUAUUGCACAAUGGGCGAAAGCCUGAUGCAGCCAUGCCGCGUGUGUGAAGAAGGCCUUCGGGUUGUAAAGCACUUUCAGUAGGGAGGAAAGGGUAGUCGCUAAUAUCGGCUAUCUGUGACGUUACCUACAGAAGAAGCACCGGCUAACUCCGUGCCAGCAGCCGCGGUAAUACGGAGGGUGCGAGCGUUAAUCGGAAUUACUGGGCGUAAAGCGUGCGUAGGCGGAUUGUUAAGCGAGAUGUGAAAGCCCAGGGCUCAACCUUGGAACUGCAUUUCGAACUGGCUGUCUAGAGUAUUGUAGAGGGUGGUGGAAUUUCCAGUGUAGCGGUGAAAUGCGUAGAGAUUGGAAGGAACAUCAGUGG
rnacentral:rRNA from 1 species